AUUGAACGCUAGCGGCAGGCUUAACACAUGCAAGUCGAGCGAGCGGCGGACGGGUGAGUAAUGUCUGGGAAACUGCCUGAUGGAGGGGGAUAACUACUGGAAACGGUAGCUAAUACCGCAUACCAUCAGAUGUGCCCAGAUGGGAUUAGCUAGUAGGUGGGGUAAUGGCUCACCUAGGCGACGAUCCCUAGCUGGUCUGAGAGGAUGACCAGCCACGCGGGAACGGAGACAGGGUACAGACUCCGAGGGGAGGCAGCAGUGGGGAAUAUUGCACAAUGGGGGCAAGCCUGAUGCAGCCAGGCAGCGUGUGUGAAGAAGGCCUUCGGGUUGUAAAGCACUUUCAGCGAGGAGGCGUUACUCGCAGAAGAAGCACCGGCUAACUCCGUGCCAGCAGCCGCGUAAUUC
rnacentral:rRNA from 1 species